GCGGACGGGUGAGUAAUGUCUGGGAAACUGCCUGAUGGAGGGGGAUAACUACUGGAAACGGUAGCUAAUACCGCAUAACGUCGCAAGACCAAAGAGGGGGACCUUCGGGCCUCUUGCCAUCGGAUGUGCCCAGAUGGGAUUAGCUAGUAGGUGGGGUAACGGCUCACCUAGGCGACGAUCCCUAGCUGGUCUGAGAGGAUGACCAGCCACACUGGAACUGAGACACGGUCCAGACUCCUACGGGAGGCAGCAGUGGGGAAUAUUGCACAAUGGGCGCAAGCCUGAUGCAGCCAUGCCGCGUGUAUGAAGAAGGCCUUCGGGUUGUAAAGUACUUUCAGCGGGGAGGAAGGGAGUAAAGUUAAUACCUUUGCUCAUUGACGUUACCCGCAGAAGAAGCACCGGCUAACUCCGUGCCAGCAGCCGCGGUAAUACGGAGGGUGCAAGCGUAAUCGGAAUUACUGGGCGUAAAGCGCACGCAGGC
rnacentral:rRNA from 1 species